rnacentral:rRNA from 1 species
UGCAGUCGAACGAUGAAGCCUUUCGGGGUGGAUUAGUGGCGAACGGGUGAGUAACACGUGGGCAAUCUGCCCUUCACUCUGGGACAAGCCCUGGAAACGGGGUCUAAUACCGGAUAACACUCUGUCCCGCAUGGGACGGGGUUAAAAGCUCCGGCGGUGAAGGAUGAGCCCGCGGCCUAUCAGCUUGUUGGUGGGGUAAUGGCCUACCAAGGCGACGACGGGUAGCCGGCCUGAGAGGGCGACCGGCCACACUGGGACUGAGACACGGCCCAGACUCCUACGGGAGGCAGCAGUGGGGAAUAUUGCACAAUGGGCGAAAGCCUGAUGCAGCGACGCCGCGUGAGGGAUGACGGCCUUCGGGUUGUAAACCUCUUUCAGCAGGGAAGAAGCGAAAGUGACGGUACCUGCAGAAGAAGCGCCGGCUAACUACGUGCCAGCAGCCGCGGUAAUACGUAGGGCGCAAGCGUUGUCCGGAAUUAUUGGGCGUAAAGAGCUCGUAGGCGGCUUGUCACGUCGGAUGUGAAAGCCCGGGGCUUAACCCCGGGUCUGCAUUCGAUACGGGCUAGCUAGAGUGUGGUAGGGGAGAUCGGAAUUCCUGGUGUAGCGGUGAAAUGCGCAGAUAUCAGGAGGAACACCGGUGGCGAAGGCGGAUCUCUGGGCCAUUACUGACGCUGA